rnacentral:rRNA from 1 species
CCUACGGGUGGCAGCAGUGGGGGAUAUUGCACAAUGGGGGAAACCCUGAUGCAGCGACGCCGCGUGUGGGAAGACGGUUCUCGGGAUUGUAAACCACUGUCCCCAGGGACGAAUAUAACGGUACCGGGGGAGGAAGCUCCGGCAAACCACGUGCCAGCCGCGGCGGUAUUACGUAGGGGGCGUGCGUUGUCCGGAAUUACUGGGGGAAAAGUGUGCGUAGGCGGGACUGCACGUUGGGUGUAAAAUCUACCGGCUAAACCGGUCGCCGCACUGGAAACUGCAGUUCUUGAGUGAAGGAGAGGCAAGCGGAAUUCCUAGUGUAGCGGUGAAAUGCGUAGAUAUUAGGAGGAACACCAGUGGCGAAGGCGGCCUGCUGGGCUUUUACUGACGCUGAGGCUCGAAAGCGUGGGGAGCAAAAAGGAGUAGAUACCCGAGUAGUC